CCAAAUCUUUGAAUAACCUUCAUCCUGAAAGGAAAGGAAAGGAAAGUUGGCUGCAGGUGAAAACUGACGGUCACGCUGAAAGAUGUGGAUCCCGCCAGGCAGCCUCCUGAGCGUCGCUGCUAAAAACAGCCGUGGCGUCUUGCUGGUGGUGUUUGAAUUGUGUCCAGGGCACCCCUGAUGGCUGUUCCAGGCGUUGGAGGUGCCACCGGCCUCCCUGGGCCGUUCUGGCUCAGGCGUGCCUGCCCUUGGCCUGGGGAGGCCCGGCCCGGCGGGCACCCGGGCCGCGUCAGCAGUUUUGGCGUGACUGCCCUCUGCCCCUGUUGACUUGUCCUUGGUUUUCUUGCCCAGAGAAUGAGUCCUGGAGGGACAUGUGCUCUCUGUCUGGGGAGGGGCGGCCCUCCUGCCUUCAGUCUGGAGGGGGUCCCCGUGUCCUAGGUCUGGGGGCGGGCGUCCCUGUGCCCUCAGCCUGGGCCACCCCCUCUUGGCUCCACACUUCCUCUCCCUCCAGGCUGCCUCUCCCGGGGCCGGGAAGCCGGGCCCCUCAGCACAUUCCCCGAGACUCACUUCCACCACGGGGGUGGUUCCUGGGCACUCAGCUUGCCCGAGGGCUGUAGCAGAAUCUGCGGGAGCACAGGGGUGGAGUGAGGGCAUGAGUCGUCCUCCAGGGGACGGCGACCCCCAUGUCCCCGGCUGCCCACGUCGGGAGGUGCCCGCUGCCUCAGCCUGGCCCGCCUUUCUGUGCCGAGGUCCUUCCGCAGGAGGGCCUUCGUCCCGCGGGCUGCUCCCCUCGCCCCUUCCUCUCUGCAGGCCUGUUCUCCUCCGCCUGUUCUUGUUGAGGGACUCGGAGGCCCUCUGGACCGACUUCCUCAGUGACACAUGCAGCUGAUGAAGGUGGCAGCGCCGUUGUGCCCGCGCUGGUGCAGGAGCUGGGGUGGCACUCUGCCUGGCAAGACUGCGCUCCCCGUGGAUGGGGGUGGAGGGGACGUCGGAAAGGCUGCCCAGGAGGAGGGAGGGCUGCGGGGAUGGAGGAGAGGGCGGCCGGCCGUGCCCGGGCACUCUGCCUGAGGAGCUGGCCCACAGGGGCACCGCACGCCCGUUCUGCCAGGUUCCUACCAUCACUCCGCACCCUGCGGGCCACACUCACAGCUCAUCCACGGUGUCAGUGUCGGCACCUUCUCCAGACACAGCGGAGUUGGCUGACCAGCGCCCCCGCCCACUCUGCCAGGCCUCACCCCCUGUGUGGUUGGCACCUGUUGUCGUUAAUCACGUUUAUUUUCUAGUAAAUGUCUGUUCAGUACCUGGUGUGGUACCUGGAAUAUGCAGAUCUUUAAUAAAUAGUAGUGACUGCCAACGUUGAUCAAA